AACGAACGCUGGCGGCGUGCCUAACACAUGCAAGUCGAACGGAGAUAAGAAGCUUGCUUCUUAUUUUAGUGGCGCACGGGUGAGUAGCGCGUGGAUAAUCUACCUGACGCUCUGGGAUAACAUCUCGAAAGGGGUGCUAAUACCGGAUAAGCCCACGAGACCUUCGGGUCAUGCGGGAAGAGGUGGGGACCUCCGGGCCUUCCGACAUCAGAUGAGUCCGCGUCCCAUUAGCUAGUUGGCGGGGUAAUGGCCCACCAAGGCUACGAUGGGUAGCUGGUCUGAGAGGAUGAUCAGCCACACUGGAACUGAGACACGGUCCAGACUCCUACGGGAGGCAGCAGUGGGGAAUUUUGCGCAAUGGGGGAAACCCUGACGCAGCAACGCCGCGUGAGUGAUGAAGGCUUUCGGGUCGUAAAGCUCUGUCAGAAGGGAAGAAAUGUAGGUGGCUAAUAUCCAUUCUACUUGACGGUACCUUCAAAGGAAGCACCGGCUAACUCCGUGCCAGCCGCCGCCGUAAAAC
rnacentral:rRNA from 1 species